GUAUGGGUUCAAGCCAGGGUGACAACUGUGUACCCCCUGGCAUGGUACCCACCUGACUGAGACUCAGAUUGUCCCCACGUCAAAUAAGGACAAUAUUCUCUACAAUCAGUGAGAGCCAGGCUCGGCACGGUUAAAUAACGUAAACGGACGGGGUAACCGGAGGGGACGAGGGCGAGUUCCGGACACCCUUGACUUGACUCUAUGUUCUGACCCCGUGUGCUGCUGCUUGAUCUUAAUGAAGACGGUAUUUCCAUCGUCGGAAUGCAGUUCGGCAGGAGCCACAGAGCCACUGAUGCCCGGGCCCUUCGCGGAAAAACAAAACGUGACGCUGGUCUCAACCUUUCUGUAACUCCAAAAGCCUGGUGGGAAAGAAAGGAGGCGACGACCACAGCCAUCCCCAAGAAGUUAAGGUGGAAGUGAAAUGCAGAGCUCUCUGGUGAGUGACGCUUGCAGCCCUUUGACAACACUAGGAAUGGGGACAUCCCCUCCUUACCUCUCCUAUUUCCACAUCACUUAAUAAAAACCUCCCAUCAUCCCAUGUGUCUUUUGAAGCACAGACGAAUUUGAAUUGACUCUUACUACUUUCCCCCUUGACCACCCAAACGGUUCACAGCACUGGAAGUUCCAAGGUUGCACAAAAACAAUGCCAUAAGGGCUAUUCAUUUUAGGAGUAAAGCUGGUUGCCUCCCAACUGAUUUUCUGAACUUUUUGGAGUUAGCAACUAUGGCUUUGAAUGCAAAUGAAUUCUACUUUUUAUAGUACCAUGGAAAAUGACACACGGGCGUGAAUUACAUUGAUGAGGGACCCAAAUUCCCUUUUAAAAACAUAGUAUAUCUAUAAAAUUGGAAAGCCAUCUUAUCCCCUUCUAGAAUGUACCUAUGCUAAUGCCUUACUCAUUUACAGAAAAAGUCCUUUAUGAGGAGAAUAAAGAAUUCUGCUGCCAAACAAGUUGAAGAGAUAGAAUUUGUUUAUCACGGUGGAGGCUUCAAGAUCACACGUCUCCAUUAGAGUCACGUGCGUCUUAAAUACCCACCAUUAUCAAGAGAAAAAUUAAGCCAAGUGUCUGAUAAGAAGAUGUGCUACACAGUCCAACAAUCUUCCGUGUUGUCAAGACGUCAGACGCAGGCAGCAAAAACAACUGAAUGAAAUAAUUGAAUUCCCACCAUGGACGAAAGAGGGCUUCGAAGUUAGAGAAAAAAGUGUGGAGUGCGGGGAGAACCCAGAGCUUCUGGUAUUUACGGCGCGGGGGUAGGGGUGGGGGGUGGGGAGAAAAACAACUGGCCUAUCUUUCAGAGCAGGAAUGCAUGGUUAAAUUGGCCCCGUUUGUCCUUAGCAACCUGAACUCAGAGGCCACAUUUUUUCCUCUCUAAGAAGCAAGUGGGAACUUGCAAAGUAUGUAGCAUGUCGUGAAAAGGGAGCAGUGAACUUUGCUCAGGUCUGCAGCCAGCACUGAAAUCUGAACCUUCAGAGGGUUUAGGACCGGUGGAUUCCCUGCCCCCCUUCCUUUGGAAUCCCUGGAUAUCCAGUGCCUUUACGAAAUACCUUGGUCUGGAAGCAGAGGAGUCCUGACUCCUAACCAAAAGAAAACCUGAUCUAAGUAUUUUCGAUGGCAUUCCAGAGGAAGUACUAAAAGCAAAAACCAAACGUGAGAUCCAACUUUCUAAUGA